GAAGUAAAAUAAAUUUGAAAAUGUCAUAUUGAUGACUGAUAAUGGUUUAAUUUAAUUAUAAACCUUUUUAUGAAACUUAAUUUUUGAUUCCUAUUUUUGAAUGAAGUAUUGAUGCAGCGCAAGAAGAUGACAGUCUUGGAAGACUAGUCAAUGAUGACCACAUCUAUCCAAACUGCAAAAUGAAGAGGGUCAUAGCAGAGGGCAAGCCACAUCUUUGUCUUUUUGCUCUGAGAGACAUUAAGGCUGGAGAAGAAAUAACGUAUGACUAUGGAGGAUCUGAUUGGCCUUGGAGAAAACAGGUUUGUAACUCUUGAAUUGUGUGAUGUAGAUUAGUGAAUGUGCAUAUUUGCUUUCAUGAGGAGAUCGGUGAAGGAUUUGUGUUUCUUUUGUGAGAUUUAUUCUGCUACUGGUUUUUUAAUCUGAGUUUUUUUAAAUCAAAUGACAGUGAUUGCUAAUGCUAAUAAGUUUGAAGGGACAAAUACAGGAAAAAAGCCUUUUCUUCAGUACAGGGACAAUAUACUUAAGCUAAAUAACCAGAAGUGUGUUCUGCCACUCUUCAGCUUUCCUUAUUCUUAAUUACAGUAGUAUAUUAGCAGACAUCUGUGCUAAAUUGAAAAUUUAAUAAUCAAAUAUAACUGACUUUUAGUUGUAUACAGAGACUAUUUAAGUUGCAUCAUCAAUUGCAUGUUUCCUGUAUACAUGUACUUCAUAUUGUGACUGAUUCAUACAAGUGUUAAUGCUGAUAUGCUAAAUACAGAUAUUGAAUUCAUUUGUCAGGCUAAAGUGCAAGAAACUGCAUCUGAUACACUGUCAUCAGAGGAGGUUCCCCAGAGUCCUUCCCCCUCCAAGAUGCAGGCUAAAGUGCAAAAUACUGCAGCUGAUACACUGUCAUCAGAGGAGGUUCCUCAGAGCCCUUCGUUCUCCGAGAUGCAGGCUAAAACACAAGAAACGGGCGCUGAUACACUGUCAUCAGAGGAGGUACCUCAGAGCCCUUCCCUCUCCCAUAUGCAGAGUUUACAAGAAGCAGGAGUCUUUCAUUCAAUGAAAACUAUAAAAUCAGAACCGCUUGUGAACUACACUGAUUCUGAUGAUGAGAGUCCAUCCAUAAGUCCUGACCAAUUGAAGUCAACAUGCCAGAUGACAAGACAACUAGAUUUGGAUGAGCACUUUGACUUUACAUCCGAUCCUAGUGGUGAGGAAUAUAUUCCUGGGACAAGUGAAGAGUCUUCUGAUAGUACAGACACAAGCAUAGCUCUCACGCCAGUUAAACAGGCAAAGAUAUUAAAACUUUGCAACCUAAAAAUGGAUGGUAACAAAGGUGAUUCACCAAAAAAUCUAAAUAAGUCCAUGAAGCAAAAGCACAACAGAGGGCGCCCACAAAAAAAAGGAAGCAACUUGGGUAGGAAACGUAAACUUCAUUCUUCAGACAGUCCUUCAACCAGUUGCUCAUCGAAAAGUAGAGGGGCAGACAAUCUAAACUCACUAAGUGAACUCAAGGACAGCCUACCUGUUUGUACCUCUUCCCCCUCUAAACAUGAAGUGAUUGAUGAUUCUGUCUUCAUACCUGGUGUAUGCAAGAAGGAAGAUGGGUCAAGAUUGUACAACAAAAAACAAUACUGUUUGUAUUGCAAGUCUGGAUAUAUAAAAAUGGCAAGGCAUUGGGAACGUGCUCAUCACAAUAAACCAGAUGUUGCACUGGCUUUGUCCUUCCCUAAAGGCUCCAAAGAAAGACGGCUACAUCUAGAGCAUGUAAGAAACAGAGGAAACUUUGCACACAAUGUUGAAGUAUUGAAUACUGGGACUGGAAAGCUUGUUUCUCGAAAACAACCAAAAAAGGACUGUUCAGGAAAAGAUUUCUUGCAUUGUGUAUAUUGUCAUGGCCUUUUCACCAAGAAAGUCCUGUGGCGACACAGGAAGAUCUGCAAGUUCAACACUGGUGUUGAACAAAAACUUGGUAAAACCCGUAUUCAGGCACUCUGUGCACUUGCUGUAAAACCGCCACCUGGUGUCAGAGAAGAGGUUUGGAAGUUGUUGAACAAGAUGGUCCAAGAUGAAGUAUAUCAUGCUGUUAAAGCUGACUCUAUGAUCAUGGAGUUUGGUGAGCAUCUUUGCAACAGAUUCGGACAUGAUGUUGCCAAACAUGAAUAUAUUCGCCAGAAAAUGAGAGAGCUCGGAAGGCUUCUAAUAUGCUCAAAGAAAAUCACUUCAUUGAAAACAAUUCAAGAACACGUCAAGCCCUCAAAUUUCAUGCAUGUCAUUAGGUCAGUAAAACAUCUAGCGGGUCAUGAUGGUGAAACCAAUACAUACAAGUGCCCAAGUCUUGCCCUCAAAAUUGGAUACACUUUAUCAAAAAUUUCAAUGCUUGUUGAAAGUCAAGCUAACGUACAGGGCAACAAGAGUGCAGCAAAAGAAGCUUGUGCUUUUCGACAAAUCUAUGAAAGCAGAUGGCAUGAAAUGAUAUCGGCUGCAUCCCUGAGAACAUUGCAGGAGUCUAAGUGGAAUUCUCCUCUUUUGCUCCCGUUUACAAAAGACGUCCAGACUCUCCAUUCUUAUUUAGAUCAGAAGCAAAAACAAUACUUGGAUGAGUUGUCCAAAGAAAGCUCCUCUCAGAUGUGGACACAGCUCACCAAGGUAACUCUGACGCAAGUCAUUCUGUUCAACCGGCGAAGAGCAGGGGAGGUGUCUCACAUGUCCUUAUCAGCAUAUUUGUGCAAAAAUCGAUCAAACCCUCAAGAAGAUAUGAAUGAGGCCCUCUCUGAUCUAGAGAAGAAGCUAUGUCAACAUUUCAGGAGAAUAGAAAUAAGAGGGAAAAGAGGAAGAAAAGUGCCUGUGCUUCUCACCCCAGCAAUGCAGACAACAAUAGAUCUGCUUGUCAGCAAGCGCAAAGAUUGUGGAGUUCUGCAGGAAAACCCUUACUUGUUUGCAAGACCAUGUGCAAUGACCUGUUACCGUGGGUCAGAUUGCCUUCGACAUUUUGCCAAGGUCUGUGGUGCAAAAACACCAGAAACUCUCACUUCUACAAAACUGCGUAAACAAACAGCAACCCUAUCUCAAGUUCUAAACCUCAGCAAUACAGAACUAGAUCAGUUAGCUGGUUUUCUUGGACAUGACAUACGAAUACACAGGCAGUUCUACAGACUUCCUGAGGGCACCCUCCAGCUUGCCAAAAUUAGCAAAGUCCUUUUGGCUCUGGAACAGGGACGCAUGACAGAAUUCAAGGGCAAAAGCCUUGAUGACAUCAUCAUUAAUCCAGAGGGUACUGUCUUUAGAUUUUUUUAA
rnacentral:lncRNA from 1 species